rnacentral:tRNA from 1 species
GUGAUUGUGGCUCAGUGGUAGAGCGCUCGCCUAGCAUGUGCAAGGUCCUGGGUUCGAUCCUCAGCAUCACA